AGUUUGAUCCUGGCUCAGGAUGAACGCUAGCGGCAGGCUUAACACAUGCAAGUCGAGGGGCAGCGGGUCCAGCAAUGGACGCCGGCGACCGGCGCAAGGGUGCGUAACGCGUGAGCGACAUGCCCGCGACCGGGGGAUAACCGAUGGAAACGUCGCCUAACCCCCCAUAGGACACGCAAUCGCAUGGUUGUGUGUUGAAAACUCCGGUGGUCGCGGAUUGGCUCGCGUGGCAUUAGGUAGACGGCGGGGUAACGGCCCACCGUGCCGACGAUGCCUAGGGGUUCUGAGAGGAAGGUCCCCCACAAUGGAACUGAGACACGGUCCAUACUCCUACGGGAGGCAGCAGUGAGGAAUAUUGGUCAAUGGGCGGAAGCCUGAACCAGCCAUGCCGCGUGCGGGAAGACGGCCCUACGGGUUGUAAACCGCUUUUGUGUGGGAGCAAUAAGGCGGCUUAGCGCCGCUGAUGAGAGUACCAUACGAAUAAGCAUCGGCUAACUCCGUGCC
rnacentral:rRNA from 1 species